rnacentral:rRNA from 1 species
GAUGAACGCUGGCGGCGUGCUUAACACAUGCAAGUCGAACGGAAAGGCUCCUGCUUGCCGGGGUACUCGAGUGGCGAACGGGUGAGUAACACGUGGGUUAUCUGCCCUGCACUUCGGGAUAAGCCUGGGAAACUGGGUCUAAUACCGGAUAGGACGAUGGUUUGGAUGCCAUUGUGGAAAGUUUUUCGGUGUGGGAUGAGCUCGCGGCCUAUCAGCUUGUUGGUGGGGUAAUGGCCUACCAAGGCGUCUACGGGUAGCCGGCCUGAGAGGGUGUACGGCGACAUUGGGACUGAGAUAAGGCGCGGACGCCUACGGGAAGCAGCAGUGGGGGAUAUUGCACAAUGGGAGCAAGCCUGAUGCAAGGACGCCGGGUGGGGGAUGACGGCCUUCGGGUUGUAAACUACUUUCGCUAGGGACGAAGCGUUUUGUGACGGUACCUGGCGAAGAAGCACCGGCUAACUACGUG